rnacentral:tRNA from 1 species
UCCAAGGUAGCUUAAAUAAUCAAAGCGUUAGUCUUGUAAGCUAAAAAUGAAACACAUUCCCAUGGAA